UACGGGGGGGGCAAGCGUUGUUCGGAAUUACUGGGCGUAAAGGGCUCGUAGGCGGCCAACUAAGUCGGAUGUGAAAUCCCCAGGCUCAACUUGGGAACUGCAUCCGAUACUGGAUGGCUUGAAUCCGGGAGAGGGAUGCAGAAUUCCAGGUGUAGCGGUGAAAUGCGUAGAUAUCUGGAGGAAUACCGGUGGCGAAGGCGGCAUCCUGGACCAACACUGACGCUGAGGAGCGAAAGCCAGGGGAGCAAACGGG
rnacentral:rRNA from 1 species